rnacentral:rRNA from 1 species
AACGAACGCUGGCGGCAGGCCUAACACAUGCAAGUCGAGCGGACCCUUCGGGGUUAGCGGCGGACGGGUGAGUAACGCGUGGGAAUAUGCCCUUCUCUACGGAAUAGUCCUGGGAAACUGGGGGUAAUACCGUAUACGCCCUUUGGGGGAAAGAUUUAUCGGGGAAGGAUUAGCCCGCGUUGGAUUAGGUAGUUGGUGGGGUAAUGGCCUACCAAGCCGACGAUCCAUAGCUGGUUUGAGAGGAUGAUCAGCCACACUGGGACUGAGACACGGCCCAGACUCCUACGGGAGGCAGAAGUGGGGAAUCUUAGACAAUGGGGGCAACCCUGAUCUAGCCAUGCCGCGUGAGUGAUGAAGGCCUUAGGGUUGUAAAGCUCUUUCAGCUGGGAAGAUAAUGACGGUACCAGCAGAAGAAGCCCCGGCUAACUCCGUG